CUCAAAAGAAGUGUAAUCAAAGUAGGAUAGAGCUUUAUUGAGGUUAUUAAGUAAUAAUUCUUGCAUAGUUUAGUGGUCAAAAGUUGUUUGCUUUAGUUCUUGACAAAUGGGUGAUUGGUCAGCUUACUUGUCUGCGCUAUAACCAAAGAAGUUGGAUUGGGAUGGUGAAGUUGUUUUGAGCUUAAGGUUGCUCUGGAAUUCUAUGGAGAAAUUUGGGAAUUAGCGACAUGCAGAGGAAUUCUGCUUUGGGAAGUUUAUUGAUAAAGCUAUUAAUGAUGUAAUGCUAUAGCCAAUGAAGUAAAAUCUGCAUUUGUUGCUGGGAUGCCCGCAUUUACCAAAUCUGAAGAUUUUACAUGUGCUGACACCAUUAGCAUUGCCUUGCUAUUUGUCCCAUGUUCUUCCAGAUAACAGUUUCAGAUGGAAUAAAGUAAAUCCACAGGGAUGUGGAUGUGUCAUCUCUGCUUGGA